UUCUUUAGCAAUAUAAGAAGGAAGAGGGUUUAUGGUUAGCAUGCUGACUACAAACAAUUUGUUUGGAACAUUGGCUUGUUUACCUCAAAACCUCUUUGUCUUGGUGUUUUGUGACUGUGGAUUUAUUUCCUUUUGGGAAAUGGAGUUUUAAAAGAUGUAGCUAAAAACAGUGAAGUGAAGAAACUUUCUCCAACAAGGCAAGCUGUUUAAGCAUUAAUGACUUUGGAAGUAGCUGAAAGAUCCGAAGACGUCCAACACCGUGCAGUGAUGAAGGACAGCAGAGUAAAGAAAAGAAACACAGAGCACACCUGCUAACUCCCGAGUCGCAGAGGAGCCAAAUUGGAAACAACACAUGCACCGACAAACCAGGAGGACGCUGCAAGACGCACUGACCUUCCCC